GAACGCUAGCGGCAGGCUUAACACAUGCAAGUCGAGGGGCAGCAUGAUGAAACUUUCGGGUUUCAUUGAUGGCGACCGGCGCAAGGGUGCGUAACGCGUGAGCAACUUGCCCUUAUCAGGGGGAUAACCGGUGGAAACGCCGACUAAUACCCCAUAGUAUCACUUCAAGGCAUCUUUUAGUGAUUAAAGAAUUUCGGAAACGGAUAGGCUCGCGUGACAUUAGCUGGAUGGCGGGGUAACGGCCCACCAUGGCUACGAUGUCUAGGGGUUCUGAGAGGAAGGUCCCCCACACUGGAACUGAGACACGGUCCAGACUCCUACGGGAGGCAGCAGUGAGGAAUAUUGGUCAAUGGUCUGACGACUGAACCAGCCAUGCCGCGUGAAGGUCACGGCCCUAUGGGUCUUAAACUUCUUUUGUAAGGGAGCAAUAAGUCUCACGUGUGGGAUGAUGAGAGUACCUUACGAAUAAGCAUCGGCUAACUCCGUG
rnacentral:rRNA from 1 species